GGGGCCAUAGCUCAGUUGGGAGAGCGCAACACUGGCAGUGUUGAGGUCGGCGGUUCGAUCCCGCCUGGCUCCACCA
rnacentral:tRNA from 1 species